rnacentral:rRNA from 1 species
GACAGAGGGUGCAAACGUUGUUCGGAAUUACUGGGCGUAAAGCGUGUGUAGGCGGCUACGCAAGUCGGAUGUGAAAGCCCCGGGCUCAACCCGGGAAGUGCACCCGAAACUGCGUGGCUCGAGUACCGGAGAGGUUGGUGGAAUUCUCGGUUUAGAGGUGAAAUUCGUAGAUAUCGAGAGGAACACCGGUGGCGAAGGCGGCCAACUGGACGAGUACUGACGCUGAGGCACGAAAGCGUGGGGAGCAAACAGG